rnacentral:snRNA from 1 species
UUAAAUUAAAAUUAAAUAUAAAGUUGGAAUGAUACAGAGAAGAUUAGCACGGCCCCUGUGCAAGGAUGACACGCAAAUUUGUGAAGCGGUCCAUAUUUUU